GCGUCGGUAUUGCAACUAUUCAGCACGCGCUCCCGAAAAGAGUGAGAAUUGGGUUCAAAUCCCGGUUGACGCA